GGGGGGAGCAAGCGUUGUUCGGAUUUACUGGGCGUAAAGGGCGCGUAGGCGGCGCAACAAGUCACUUGUGAAAUCUCCGGGCUUAACCCGGAGCGGCCAAGUGAUACUGUCGUGCUAGAGUGCGGAAGGGGCUACUGGAAUUCUCGGUGUAGCGGUGAAAUGCGUAGAUAUCGAGAGGAACACCUGCGGCGAAGGCGGGUAGCUGGGCCGACACUGACGCUGAGGCGCGAAAGCCAGGGGAGCGAACGGGAUUAGAUACCCCGGUAGUCCUGGCCUUAAACGAUGGAUACUUGGUGUCCGGGGUUACAUAGUCCCCGGGUGCCGGCGCUAACGCAUUAAGUAUCCCGCCUGGGGAGUACGGUCACAAGACUG
rnacentral:rRNA from 1 species